UACGGAGGGGGUUAGCGUUGUUCGGAAUGACUGGGCGUAAAGCGCGCGUAGGCGGAUCGUCAAGUCGGGGGUGAAAUCCCGGGGCUCAACCCCGGAAUGGCCUUCGAGACUGUCGGUCUUGAGUUCGAGAGAGGUGAGUGGAAUUCCGAGUGUAGAGGUGAAAUUCGUAGAUAUUCGGAGGAACACCAGUGGCGAAGGCGGCUCACUGGCUCGACACUGACGCUGAGGUGCGAAAGCGUGGGGAGCAAAC
rnacentral:rRNA from 2 species